UACGUAGGCAGCGAGCGUUGUUCGGAGUUACUGGGCGUAAAGAGUGCGUAGGCGGUUUUCUAAGUUUGGUGUGAAAUCUCCCGGCUUAACUGGGCGGGUGCGCCGAAGACUGGAAGGCUUGAGUAUGGGAGAGGUAAGCGGAAUUCCUGGUGUAGCGGUGAAAUGCGUAGAUAUCAGAAGGAACACCUGCGGUGUAGACGGCUUACUGGACCAUCACUGACGCUGAGGCACGAAAGCGUGGGUAGCAAACAGG
rnacentral:rRNA from 1 species